rnacentral:tRNA from 1 species
GGGCGUGUGGUCUAGUGGUAUGAUUCUCGCUUUGGGUAAUUUCUCCAGUAAAUGGAGUUGUGCAAGUCAAAUAUGCGAGAGGCCCUGGGUUCAAUUCCCAGCUCGCCCC